UACGGGGGGAGCAAGCGUUGUUCGGAUUUACUGGGCGUAAAGGGCGCGUAGGCGGCCACUGCAAGUCGGUUGUGAAAUCUCCGGGCUUAACCCGGAAAGGUCAAUCGAUACUGCAGGGCUAGAGUGCAGAAGGGGCAACUGGAAUUCUCGGUGUAGCGGUGAAAUGCGUAGAUAUCGAGAGGAACACCGGUGGCGAAGGCGGCGACCUGGACGAUGACUGACGCUGAGACGCGAAAGCGUGGGGAGCAAACAGG
rnacentral:rRNA from 1 species